GACGAACGCUGGCGGCGUGCUUAACACAUGCAAGUCGAACGAUGAAGCUGGAGCUUGCUCUGGCGGAUUAGUGGCGAACGGGUGAGUAACACGUGAGAAAUCUGCCCUUGACUCUGGGAUAACUGCGGGAAACUGUAGCUAAUACCGGAUACUUUCCCUGGUGGGCAUCCACUGGGGAAGAAAGAAUUUCGGUCAAGGAUGAUCUCGCGGCCUAUCAGCUUGUUGGUGAGGUAAUGGCUCACCAAGGCGACGACGGGUAGCCGGCCUGGGAGGGUGACCGGCCACACUGGGACUGAGACACGGCCCAGACUCCUACGGGAGGCAGCAGUGGGGAAUAUUGCACAAUGGGCGCAAGCCUGAUGCAGCGACGCCGCGUGAGGGAUGAAGGCCUUCGGGUUGUAAACCUCUUUUAGCAGGGAAGAAGCGAAAGUGACGGUACCUGCAGAAAAAGCACCGGCUAACUACGUGCCAGCCGCCGCAGUAA
rnacentral:rRNA from 1 species